GGCAAGGGGCGGGGCUGGGGGGGGGGCAGUGGGAGAGGAGAGUCCCCCGGGAAGAGGGCGAGGGAAGAGAGCCUGGCUCCCGAAAGAAGCCCCCUCUCCAGGGCAGUCCUGGAAGAGACGUUGCUACAAUGGGGGUAGGCAGGAGACCUUGAGGGUGUCUGUGGGUUUCCCCCUUGCUCCAAAUUUUCCUACAAGCACUUUCACAUGCGGAGGGGACUCUCUAACGGUCACCAACAGGAAUGCCACUCUUAAUGUCAGAGGGCAGGGGCAUGGGGAACGUGAGGGAAGUGGGAGGACGUGGGCACCAGGGGGUUAAUCCCCAGUCGUCCCAGGGGCCUCCCCCCUGAAGCCGGGGGCUUUGGGGGCAGGAAGUCCCCGAGAGAGUGGAGGAAGGGAGAUAGUAUUGUCAGGCUCAGGCCCCAAGGGAGAGAUUAUGGGGGGCCGGGGGAGGGGAGAAUGGGGGGAGGGUCUACUCCGGUCCCCCAGCCCACACCGGCCCCGCCCUCAGGUGAGCCCAGGAGUUCUCAGGGAGGCCCAGGUGGAAUUGGGCUUCUGUCAAUUACAACGCAAACAAUGCUGACAAAUACAUCCUUCUGCUGCUGGGAAACUAUCAACAGUCCUCUCCCCGAACUGCCUUCUCCGCCGCCGUGCAAAGGACUGCAGGCUUGAGCCCCAGCUCCCUCCAUCCCAUUGAGGUGGUGACUCCCACCCCACCCCACCCCCACCCCCGCCUUCGUUUAUGUGGCUCCACCCACCACCUCUUGGGACAGCUCCAAAUUCUUGUAGGCUACGUGGGACCAAUUCACCACUUCUCUCCUCCGAGACCCAGACCAUCCUCGGAGACAUCCCAGUGGUUUCUGCAGCACACCCAGUCUUUGGGAUUGGUCAUAAACAUUCCUCGAAUUUU